AUUGAACGCUGGCGGCAUGCUUUACACAUGCAAGUCGAACGGCAGCGCGGGCUUCGGCCUGGCGGCGAGUGGCGAACGGGUGAGUAAUGCAUCGGAACGUGCCCAGUAGUGGGGGAUAGCCCGGCGGAAGCCGGAUUAAUACCGCAUACGACCUGAGGGUGAAAGCGGGGGACCGAAAGGCCUCGCGCUAUUGGAGCGGCCGAUGUCGGAUUAGCUAGUUGGUGGGGUAAAGGCUUACCAAGGCGACGAUCCGUAGCUGGUCUGAGAGGACGACCAGCCACACUGGGACUGAGACACGGCCCAGACUCCUACGGGAGGCAGCAGUGGGGAAUUUUGGACAAUGGGGGCAACCCUGAUCCAGCCAUGCCGCGUGCGGGAAGAAGGCCUUCGGGUUGUAAACCGCUUUUGUUCGGGAAGAAAUCCUCUGGGCUAAUACCCCGGGGGGAUGACGGUACCGGAAGAAUAAGCACCGGCUAACUACGUG
rnacentral:rRNA from 1 species